CCAGGGAUCGGUAGCUGUUGUCGUGCCGGCAGCGGUAUUCUUCGGAAACCUGAGAGCGGCGCACGGGUGCGGAACACGUGUGCAACCUGCCUUUAUCAGGGGGAUAGCCUUUCGAAAGGAAGAUUAAUACCCCAUAAUAUAUCAGAUGGCAUCAUUUGAUAUUGAAAACUCCGGUGGAUAAAGAUGGGCACGCGCAAGAUUAGAUAGUUGGUGAGGUAACGGCUCACCAAGUCAAUGAUCUUUAGGGGGCCUGAGAGGGUGAUCCCCCACACUGGUACUGAGACACGGACCAGACUCCUACGGGAGGCAGCAGUGAGGAAUAUUGGACAAUGGGUGAGAGCCUGAUCCAGCCAUCCCGCGUGAAGGACGACGGCCCUAUGGGUUGUAAACUUCUUUUGUAUAGGGAUAAACCUUUCCACGUGUGGAAAGCUGAAGGUACUAUACGAAUAAGCACCGGCUAACUCCGUGCCAGCAGCCGCGGUAAUACGGAGGGUGCAAGCGUUAUCCGGAUUUAUUGGGUUUAAAGGGUCCGUAGGCGGACCUGUAAGUCAGUGGUGAAAUCUCAUAGCUUAACUAUGAAACUGCCAUUGAUACUGCAGGUCUUGAGUAAGGUAGAAGUGGCUGGAAUAAGUAGUGUAGCGGUGAAAUGCAUAGAUAUUACUUAGAACACCAAUUGCGAAGGCAGGUCACUAUGUCUUAACUGACGCUGAUGGACGAAAGCGUGGGGAGCGAACAGGAUUAGAUACCCUGGUAGUCCACGCCGUAAACGAUGCUAACUCGUUUUUGGGUCUUUAAGAUUCAGAGACUAAGCGAAAGUGAUAAGUUAGCCACCUGGGGAGUACGUUCGCAAGAAUGAAACUCAAAGGAAUUGACGGGGGCCCGCACAAGCGGUGGAUUAUGUGGUUUAAUUCGAUGAUACGCGAGGAACCUUACCCAGGGCUAAAUGGGAAUUGACAGACGCAGAAAUGUGUUUUUUCUUCGGACAAUAUUCAAAGGUGC
rnacentral:rRNA from 1 species